UCUCACACAAUUUCUCUCGACCGAGCUUAAAAUUGUUUCAACCAGAUCACUAGCUCUAAUAUGAUGUUUGGGUUUGAAGAUUCAGCAUGAACAGGAUUUAUUAUAUGACCAAUUAUCAUCCUCAGUUGGACUUUUCAACAUUUUCAGAUGUAUCCAAGGCUCAGAUUUCAAACGUUUUGCUUGGUGUUAAGGAGGUACAAAUCUCCUGAAAAUUAUGUACCAGUUCACGAAGGUGUGAUAAACAAAAGGGCUCAUAUAAGAUGCAAGUCUACUAACUUUGAAAAAAAUCUGAGGAUUAGCGAAUGCAAAUACAUUUUCAGUUCAAGCUGGAAAAGAUUCAGGUGUUGUUCUUGCUGCUACUAAGACUAACAAACAGAAAGCCCUCUAACUUUGGUGCAAAAACUGUCAUGAAAAAAGAGUUCUGUAGAAUGGCUAAGGUUGUUGAUCCUCAGAUGUUAUUCAAGAUGAGAAUUUUGGGGUCUCACAAGUUUAACGAUGAUCCAGCGCAACUUUCUGGCAGAAACAUAAACUCCAAUGAACUUCAACUUUUUCGACUACUGAAGAAUAUGUGCAAUCAACAAGAACAUCAACAGGAACAACAUCAACAAUUAAGGAAACAAAGGGAAAAACAGUAAAAUCAAAAUCAUCAACAAGUUCAUCAAUUUUAUUAAUUGUUACAAAGACUCCAACGCCGAUCCAGGCCGAAUCAUCCUGAGCCAGGCCAUAAAAGGUCGACUCAGAAAACCAUUGUUACUCAUCCUCCCGUUACUUUUAUUGUAACACCCUUGUAUUAUGAAAAUCUUAGUUCAUAUUAGCUAGGCUUAUAUGUUCUUGAAAUCAUGGGGUCGGAUUUGGUCCAACCACGAUUUUGAGAAGGUUUUUAAACG